UGUGGCACUAGAUCACAUGUAGAAUCAGGCCCCAAGUUCAAUUUUCCCAUGUCUAUGAAAUUCUGGAUGAUGUCCUUACUGGCACGACACUCCUCAGUGCUAUGACUAAGUCUCCUAUGAUAUUGGCAAUAAUUGGGCUUACUUUCCCUUCCAAGUUCCCUCGAUCUUUUCAGCACGGGUAGCUCGAUCAUCCCCUCUGAUAAGAGAGUCUCAAGCAGCUUGAGGAUCAUAACUUGUCAAAGGAGUAAUCCUCGUGCCGUCCUUGGCUUGAGGAGUGCAUAGCAUUUGUUAUGGCAGCUGAUAAUUGAUCAUCAUCUUUGACUGAUGCGAAGGGUCUAGAUAUACUUUCUUGGUGCUUGAGAAAACCUUCAAUUUGAACUGCCUUAUUGGCCAUCUUGGUGAGUGUAGUGGGCCAUGAUGAAGUGACAUAACGAUCCAAUUCUUGGUGCAUCCCAUCUAUGCAGUACUCUAUCUCUUGAGGCUCACCUAUUAGUGUGGCCAGAUUGAUGGCAAGAUUGCACCACCUUUCGAUGUACUCGAU
rnacentral:lncRNA from 1 species